AUUAAUCCUAACAAUCAAUAAUGCAUGACAGAAUUGAUGAAAAGAUUUUAUUAACAUCUAAUUAAUCAUGUGAAAUAAAAACCAUAAUCAUCAAAGAACAUAUAUAGGGAAUUAAUUAAAUAAAAAGAUAAUUAUUUCAUUGAAUAGGGUUUCAUCCUUAACCUCAGUAUAAGAAAAUUAGCUAGACAUACUUGAAUUGAGAACAACACAAGAAAUAAAAUCAGCCAUGGAAGUUGAAUUGCUGCUGCUGCCGAAUACUCUCUCCCAACCUUGCGUCUGCACCCUUUUGUUUUCGUCCAACGGCUCCCUCUUCUCCAAAAGCCAAAACUCCCUUUUAUAAUCUUUGAAAUGGGCCCCACCUCUUAAAUCCUAAAGCCAAAAGGCUUGGCCUUUUAUUUUUCUUUGCUCUCACUCAUGUGCUCACCAAUUAAGCUUGCACUAGGAUUCCUUUUUCCACUUGUGAAAGCCAAGUGUAGGUCCCAUUUAAAUUGCUUUCCACUUUUGCAAUGCCAUGCACGUGCAACUCAAUCGGAGAAUUGAAAUUCAAUGCAAAUUGUUCUUGGCUCUUAACUCUGUCACGGCUUCAACUAAUAUUCUCUUAAAUUGUUAUUCUUUUUUCACUUUUUAUUUCCAAUCUCCAAUUAAUUCCCUAUGCAAUAAAAUAAUUCAAUUAAUUAAAAAUAACAAAUAAAAAUAACUAGUAAUUAGAUAAUAAACGGUAAAAUAUGUAUAUAAAUUAUGCUCAUCAAAUACCCCCAAACUUAGAUUUUGCUAGUCCUCGAACAAAACUAAAACUUAAAACAAAAAUAAAAAUAACAAAACAAAAAUUAAAUCCUAACUAAACCACUUUCGCAGGUAAUCGCGAUUGCAUUUAGCGUAUUCAACAAGCCUUUAAACCCCUAGGCGGCCCUAGUGGACGAGUUGUAGUCUCGUGAGGGCUUCAGUGAUGAUACCCACAAACAUCAUAAAAUAAAAUAAAAUAAAAAAUUAAAUAAAACAUGAAAAAUAGCCUCGAAGAUUGCAAAAAUUAUAUAGCUUAAAGAAAAUUUCAAAUAUUGGCAAAGUUCUAAUUUUAAUUCAAUAAUCAAUCUCAUCUCUCUUUCGAUUCUUGUAGUGUGUGUGUGAAAUCAAUUCAAUCAAAUAAAAAUAACUAGUAAUUAGAUAAUAAACGGUAAAAUAUGUAUAUAAAUUAUGCUCAUCAAAUACCCCCAAACUUAGAUUUUGCUAGUCCUCAAGCAAAACUAAAACUUAAAACAAAAAUAAAAAUAACAAAACAAAAAGUAAAUACUAACUAAACCACUUUCGCAGGUAAUCGCGAUUGCAUUUAGCGUAUGCAACAAGCCUUUAAACCCCUAGGUGGCCCUAGUGGACGAGUUGUAGUCUCGUGAGGGCUUCAGUGAUGAUACCCACAAACAUCAUAAAAUAAAAUAAAAUAAAAAAUUAAAUAAAACAUGAAAAAUAGCCUCGAAGAUUGCAAAAAUUAUAUAGCUUAAAGAAAAUUUCAAAUAUUGGCAAAGUUCUAAUUUUAAUUCAAUAAUUAAUCUCAUAUCUCUUUCGAUUCUUGUAGUGUGUGUGUGAAAUCAAUUCAAUCAAAUAAAAAUAACUAGUAAUUAGAUAAUAAACGGUAAAAUAUAUAUAUAAAUUAUGCUCAUCAAAUACCCUCAAACUUAGAUUUUGCUAGUCCUCGAGCAAAACUAAAACUUAAAACAAAAAUAAAAAUAACAAAAUAAAAAGUAAAUACUAACUAAACCACUUUCGCAGGUAAUCGCGAUUGCAUUUAGCGUAUGCAACAAGCCUUUAAACCCCUAGGCGGCCCUAGUGGACGAGUUGUAGUCUCGUAAAGGUUUCAGUGAUGAUACUCACAAACAUUAUAAAAUAAAAUUAAAUUAAAUUAAAUAAAAAAUUAAAUAAAACAUGAAAAAUAGCCUCAAAGAUUGCAAAAAUUAUAUAGCUUAAAGAAAAUUUCAAAUAUUGGCAAAGUUCUAACUUUAAUUCAAUAAUCAAUCUCAUCUCUCUUUCGAUUCUUGUAGUGUAUGUGUGAAAUCAAUUCAAUCAAAUCCAUUCCCAAAAUCCUCAACAUCAACAGUCUUCACCUCAAACAAAGAAUAGAGUAGGUCAAACUAAUCUUAUCAUCUUGAUCUCCAAUUUUUUUUUUCUCACAGACUUUUAUGUGCAUCUUCUUUUGAUUUUUUUUCAGCACAUGCACUUGAUUUGAUUUUUCUUUUCUUUUCUUUUUCUUUUUCUUUUUUUUUUAACCAUAGUCAGGAGCUUUCACUCUACCCCUUAAGGUAGCUUUCUUCUCAUGGUAGAUUAUCAUCUACAUACUUGUGGUACAUAAGCCCAAAUUACUCAAGGAUAGCUUCACUCUUAAGGGUUAUAGGUAGCUAUUUCUGACUUUGGCGCCCGUGUAUACUAUUUUGUAUUGUGGAGAUAAGAAUCAAAACAAAUAGUCAUUUACUCUAUCUAAAAUUCUCAACUCAGGCUGCGUUAAUCUCAAAUUUCAAGUCAAAAUUAUGAAAGAAUUGAUAUUAGUGCUCAUGGUUUAAAGAAUCUCAAUCAAGAGGAACUAACACAAGAAUCAAGUAUAAACUAAGACAAUAUUCAACCCUUUCUAAAAACCAUAUUCAUUGUCAAUCAAGUUCUUAUCAUUGGCUUUUCACGUAAAAACAAAUAACACGAUUUUUUUUUGAAUUUUUGAAUUUUUUUUUUAACAAACAAAGCACACAUUAUUCCCGCCCCCAAACUUAUUCGGAACAUUGGCCUUAAUGUUUCACAAACAAAAGAUAUGCAUGCAAACAAAUGAAAGAAAUAAAUAAUAAUAAUAAUAAUAAUAAUAAUAAUAAUAAAACAUAAAUAAUAAAAAGAAAGUUGGAGAGAACACACCUGGAUGGGCUGGGAAAGCUUUAAAAAAAUGACAACUAAAAGAAAAUGUUAGAAGAAAUAUAAAUAAAAAAAUAAAAAACAAAAUAAAAAAAUCCUACUAACUAACUAAUUAAUGUAAACAACAAAUAAGCCAGGAUCAAUAAGAAUUUGGUGAAAAGCAAAGCAAUUAUAUAGAAAAUGCCAGAAAACAUAAUUGACUAAGUACUGGAGCAUUUUAUCUAUAAAAGGAUACUGGUAAUGAAACUUCUCAAUAUCGCACUGCAUUGAUCUCUUAUGUUCCAUGCUUUCCUGAGAGUUAUCUGAAGUAGUAUAAAAAUAUAAUAAUUUAAGCACUUUAGAUCUUACCACCUUUUUCAUAUCAGAAUGUGACCUCUGUUGCACUUUUUUAGGAAGUAACUCCAACUUGAAUGGUUCAAUUUUCUCUUCAGGAGGAAGUGGCUCAAUCUUUUCUUUCCACUUAAUUAGAUCUAUGAUAAGAGUCGAAUCAAGUAAAACAUUAACUUCUUCAAUACCACUAUCAACAUCAACAGAGAGAUCAAAGUCAGUUGUGCAUGGUAUUAAUGGAUUGUCACAGUGGUUAGAAAUAAGUGAGUCAUCAAUUGAUGCUUCUAUCAUAUCUACUUCAACAACUUCAUCAUCUUCUUGUGCCUGCUUAGGAACAUUAAAAAUGUUUAAUUCCAUGGUCAUGUUACCAAAAGACAAUUGCAUGUUUCCAGUCCUGCAACUAAUAUGAGCAUAAGCUGUAGCUAAAAAAUGACGACCUAGAAUAACUGGGGUGUGUUUCUUAGGAUCCUGUACAUGCUGAGUAUCAAUAACAAUAAAAUCAACAUGAUAAUAAAAUUUGUCAAUAUGUAUCAACACAUCCUCUAUAAUACCACGAGGUAUUUUCAUUGACCUAUCAGCAAGUUGUAAAACAAUGGAAGUUGAUUUUAACUCACCUAGUCUAAGUUGCAUGUAAAUAGAAUAAGGCAAGAGAUUAACACUAGCACCCAAAUCCAAUAAUGCUUUAUCAAAACACUAGUUCCCUAUAACACAUGAGAUAGUAGGGGAACCUGGAUCCUUAAAUUUUGGUGGCAUUUUACAUUGGAGUAAAUUGCUAGUUUGUUCAGUUAAAAACGCCUUUUUGGUGAUAUGCAAGUUUCUCUUUUUAGUGCAUAGAUCUUUCAAAAACUUGGAAUAGGAAGGAACUUGGUUAAUAGCAUCGAGUAAAGGGACGUUUAUACUUACUUGCUUGAAGAUUUCCAUAAUCUCACCUGUUGAAGUCUCUUUCUUUACCUUUGUUAACCUUUGAGGAAAAGGAGCCUUGGGAAUGUAAGCUGGUAGGUCACUCUCUUUAGGAUCAUUUGGUGAUGAGUUUUGUGAUGGAACUGGAUCUGAAGAAGCAGGCUUAGAUAUCUUCCUUGUUUGAACCUCCACCUUGUUGUCAAAUAACUUUCAUCUUCUCAAGGUCAUAACAGAUUUUGCUUCUUCAUGCUGAUGGCUUGAACUCAAUUCAACUUCAUACACUCCUUUAGGAUUGGGAAUUGGUUGACUUGGGAAUUUUCCUUUUUCUCUCUCCGCUACAGUAGUUGCUAAUUGACCCAAUUGAUGUUCAAGCUUCAGAAUAGCUUGAGUAUUUGACUGAAAAUCUUGUUGGGUUGACUGAAUGAAACUUUGAAGUGUAUCCUCUAAAGAAAGCUUUUUUUGUUGGGGUGCAACAAAUUGAGACAUAGGUUGUUGGGCAGGAGGAUAUACUUGGUUAGGAGGGACAAAUUGUUGAUUGGGCAUGUUAAAUUGUUGCCCUCCUUGGUUUGACAAAGGUUGAUUUUGUUUCCAAGAAAAAUUAGGGUGAUUCCUCCAAUUAGGAUUAUAUGUGGAUGAAUAUGGAUUAUUGGAGGUUUUCUCAUAUGAUUGUAAGGCAUGUACCUGCUCAGAAUAAGCCUCUUGAUAGGCUGGUAAUGAUGGACAAUUUUGUGCUGUAUGAGACAUGUUAGAACAAAGAGCACAAACCUCAUUAACUACACUAGGAUGAUGAUUCAUGGAUUGGUUUAGAGCUAAGGCAUCUACUUUCCUAGAAAGCGUAGCUAGAGUGACUUUCACAUCAAAGUCAUCUUUAACUUCGUAAAGACCCUUUCUAGAAACUUGAGAUAAUUUUUCCCUUUGAUUUGAAAAAUCCCAUUGUUGAGAAUUAUCAGAAAGUGAAUUAAAGAAAUCCCAUGCAGCCCCUUCAUGUAGGUUCAAAAAUCUCCCACCAUUCAUAAACUCUACCAUAUGACGAUUUGACAUGGUUAAACCGUUAUAAAAGCAUUGUAUAAGCCUCCAUUUCUCAAAACCAUGGUGGGGGCACUUAAGGAGUAAAUCAUUAAAUCUUUCCCAACACUCAUAAAAUUGCUCACCCUCUCUUUGAUAAAAAUCACUUAUCUCUCUCCUAAGGGCAUUUGUUUUAGACAUAAGGAAAAACUUGGUGAGGAAUUUAUUACUCAAUUCAUCCCAUGUAGUAAUAGACCCAGUAGGAAGUGAAUUCAACCAAGCUUUCGCUUUGUCUUUUAAUGAGAAAGGGAACAUACGAAGCCAAAUUGACUCAUUAUUAAAAUUUUGAAAACGAAAUGUAGAGCAUAUGUCAAGAAAUUCCUUAAUGUGCAAAUAUGGAUCCUCUCUCUCUAACCCAUGGAAAGAUGGUAAAAGUUGAAUGACUGAGAGCUUAGAUUCAAAGUGUGUUGCUGUAGUUUGUGGCAACACAAUACAAGAUGGUUGGUUGGCUGCAAUUGGUGAAAAAUAUUCUCUAAGGGUUUUCUCUGCUUGCACUGGUGGGAGUAUUGGCAAUAAUCUAUUUGGGUCAUCCAUUACUUCUAAAGAACUAUCUUGAUUACUAUUAAUUUUCGACUCUCUUUCAACCAAACGAUUUGUUGAAUCACGUUCCCAAACACUCAUAAACUAACUAGACAAGAAAAGAAAGAAAAAUAAAAUAAAAUAAACCAACAAUAAUGAGAAUAAACGAAAUUUAAAAAUAAAAGAAAUCAAACAACCAAACAAUGAAUUUAAAGACAAAUAAAAGUUUUUUUUGUGUUUUUUUUUAAUAAAAAAAAUAAAAGACAACCUAAGUUAUAACUAGUGGAAGAAUCAAAUCAACCUAGAUUAAACUGACUUUCUAGCACAAUCCCCGGCAACGGCGUCAAAAACUUGUUGUGAAAAAUUUUUUUAUACUCGCAAGCACACGAAUCUAGAAAUAGAAUAGUGGUAACGAGGUCGAUCCCACAGGGAUUGUUAUAAAUUGAAAAGUCUAAUUUAAAUCCAAAAUUAAUAUUAAUCAUAACCUAGUUGAGAAAAUUGAGAUUUUAAGGGAAAUUAAACUAAUUAAACUAAGGAAGCAAUUAAAAUAAAGGAGAAUUCAAUAAGAUAAGAAUUACCAAGGUUUCAGAAUCCACCAUUAUUCAACUAGUAAUUAUCUAAUUAUUAAUUAAUCCUCAAUUUUAGAGUGACAACUCGAAAUCAAUCUAUGUCAUCUCAUGGAUAUAACAAUUAAGUCCAAAUAAAAUUAAUCUUAUGUAGGUUCUUUUUCUGCUUAAUAGUAUGACAUCUAAGCAUCUCAUGUAAACAUAUUGAAAAACAAAGAGUCAAAGUUUCCCUAAGCACUCUAUGUAAACAAUUUAAUGAAAGACAUAAAAUCAAAGACAAUCAUGUAUAAACUUUAUAAAUCCAAGCAUAGAGUUAAUCAAAUAUUAAUCCUAACAAUCAAUAAUGCAUGACAGAAUUGAUGAAAAGAUUUUAUUAACAUCCAAUUAAUCAUGUGAAAUAAAAAUCAUAAUCAUCAAAGAACAUAUAUAGGGAAUUAAUUAAAUAAAAAAGAUAAUUAUUUCAUUGAAUAGGGUUUCAUCCUUAACCUCAGUAUAAGAAAAUUAGCUAGACAUACUUGAAUUGAGAGCAACACAAGAAAUAAAAUCAGCCAUGGAAGCCGAAUUGCUGCUGCUGCCGAAUACUCUCUCCCAACCUUGCGUCUGCACCCUUUUGUUUCCG
rnacentral:lncRNA from 1 species